rnacentral:lncRNA from 1 species
AAUAGCCACCCGCUAAUGAAUUGAAAAAUUAAAGAAAAAAAAAUAUAUAUAUAUGUAUUAAUUCUCGAUUUUUGGGAAAUUUUAAUGGUGUGUUAAUAUCGGAGAUCAUUUAAAAAUUAACAAAACCGAUUUUCAAAAACAACCGAAUAACUGGAAGUUUCCGCGCAGUUAAUUUAUCAUUAAAAGUAAUCGAAAUAAAACUCCCCAACCCACCUUCGUUCCACCCUAUAAAAUAUCCGAGAAACAAAUGGUGGUUCUGUAUCGGCUACUAAGAAAAUGUAAAUUAAAAGCGAACACCGAAGGUUAUUGGUAAGUUAUGAAUGGUUAAAAAUCGUUGGUAAAUUACCGUAGAAGUAGCGUAAAAUGUAAAUUUUAAAUCAGAGAAACUAAAAAAACUAUGUUGGCCCUUAGUAAUUUUAAGUGUCGGUGCGGAGCCACUCGUCCGUCGAGAGGCCAGUCGGCUCCAAAAACUAACAUUUUUCGCUUUCCGUUUUUCCUUUUUCUGGCUCCCACCUACGGGUCCACCUACCUCCGGCACCCGCCGCUCCUCCGCCCCCUACCUCUCUUACCCGCCAUAUCCCGACUAAACCUGGUGGCUAACCGAUACCGGAAAGGUUAAAGGUCCGGCACAGCGGCCGUUCGGAAGUAGAUGGUUAGGCGUCCAAGUCCGACCUUCCUAACCCGAAAACCUUCCCUAAAAUUAAGAAUAAGUCGAAAUCUUCGAGGGUCUAGGUAAUUUUGGCUCUCCGCCUGUCUGGGGAUAGAGCCAACCUAGCCAUAGUUUUUAACGCGUAUAUUCUCCCAGGUCCAUCUUAUCGUGUUUAUUUUUACCUUUAAUCGGACGACGGGACAUUUUCGGCCGACUGGCGUCUACUAUAAACAAUAAUCCGCUCUCGGUCAUCCGAGUGGCAUCGAUCGGGUGCCCGUCACCGGGUCAAGAUCGACAAUUACGCCUCGAACGAGUACCGUACGGGAGAAAGCGGGGUAAAAGAGGAUGGUCCCGCCCCUAUUCGGAAUAAAGCUAGGGGAAAGCUAAGAGGAAGCGCUGGAUUAAAAGAUGGCUGGGGUAGAGUAGCCUUCGCUAUUUGGCGCCGAUAUCCCGUUAUGUAUACUUAGACACGGCCCUGGCCGGUGGAAAAACACGUUUCCAUUACUCUAUUCCGGACGCGAAAUGGACAGUGACAAAAUAAGUGAUGGAAGGGGUGGGGAGGAGAAGAAAAACGCGUCUAAUCCCAGAUCUUCAUCAAUUCUGCCACAGCCCCUACUUAAUCUAGGCUCGACGUCAUUACGAAUUUCCAUCGACGUUUAGAAGAUUCCCGGUAAGCGAAUGCGCUCUUUUUUUUUUUUCCUUUCUCCUCCCCCUUCAAACACCGUGUCUCGACAUAUAUGAAUAAUGUAUUGGAAAAGCCUCCAUUAGCGAGUUUUUGAUUGCGCUGUACACCGGGGAGACUGUCCGGCUAUUAAACAUUCCUACAAAACAUUAAUCCGUGUUGAUCCUUUGGCCCGUCAUCCAACGCUUUCUAGAUGGGCUGAUUAACACUUAUUUUCUCCGCCACCACCAUAAACUGCCGGACGGCGACAAUAUUGCGCCAUCGAUUACUUCCUAUCAACCCAUCCGUCCUAGCCGGCCGCUAUACCGCUGCCAAACCUAAUAAACCUUCCACCAAUUUCUCCAUAUUAAUUAAAAGGGAAUUUAUCGGUGGCCGGGCCCACUAAGCCCACACCAGUCGGCGCCGGCUACCGGGCUUCCGCUCGGCCUCCACCACCGACUGGGGUUGGGGGUCCCAUCCAAAACCCAGGUAAAAGGCGGUCGACUAUAUGGAAAUGGAGAAAGCGAGGGCCGCCACCCCGGAACAAAUCUGUUCGAUUUGUUUUCCUAAGUCAAAAUUUACCUGGACCGGAAAAUUUACGUUUUAAAGGCUGGAUCAAAGCCUAGAGUUUUUGCCAGCGGAAAGACGGUUAGCCACUCUAACCGUUUAAAAACACCUGGCCCGUAAGCGCCGAUUUUAGCCUAAAUAUUUAAACGGUAAAUGGGAAUUUAACGGGUCGAGUGGGUUGGCAGCCUCCCACUUAGCGCGGGCUUUGGGAUAUGGGACGUAUAGGGCUACCGUGGCGCCUGACGGUUAGGUCCAUCGGGAUAUUAAGCGGUUAUUAAAAAUAAUGUUAACUUCGGCCCGAAAUAUUUGACCAUUUGGUCGGCUAACUAAAUAAAAAGGUGAAAUCGAUAUUAGCAAAGAUUCCGAAUUUUCCGCAUAUAAAAUUGUUGGAUUUACCACCCGAGUCGAAAAGAAUUUCUUUUCGUUUAGCCACCGGGACGGUCUAGUGCCGUUCGAGACGAUACAGGCCCGUUAAAAUUCCAAUUUCGAUGGGGCGCUGCACCCACCACUGUCCGUUACUUACAUAUUCCGUCCAGACAGCCACCCGUCCGACUACGUCCGAACCGGUGCGGCCUAUUUCCGGAAAGGGCAAAUUUUGGCCCGCUACGGAGACCACAAAAACUUUAAAAAUUGGGUUUUAUUAGAAACCACCGGUGGGGUGGUCCUCCCGCCCGUCCGAGUUUCCGGGGAUACUCCGGUCUGUACCCGAAUUUCCACUCUAAUCGACGCUCAGUUAAAAAUUGAUGGGAAAGGUGGUCAGUUUUUCCCAAAAUAAUCUAAGGCCAUUAAUUUUUUUUUUACGUUUGGGAGCUGGUGGCCACCGGUUACUUGGAAAUGACCCGACUUUGUUCCGACCUGCGACCGACUAAGGAUGGGGAAACGACUGGAAUUUUAACGGUUGUUUUGUCUCCGUUAUCUAUUAAACCAGAUAUCGAUCCUGGUAGGCGUUUAAUAAACGACUAGGCACCUGGGAUAAUCAUCGACCCGCUCUACUUCCCACCUCCAAAUCGGAAAAACUCUUUCCCGGCUGUGGGCUACCAGCCCCUUAAAGCCGAGUCCGGACUCGGGGACCACCGCCACUCGGGGGAGCCCGGCCCCACACCGGAAUCUCCGGCCGGAUCCCUCAUCUAUUGUGAAAUUCCCACCAUUCUCUACCAUUCUACUCUACCACCCGUCGGUAUUCCCGCCCGGAAAGCCCUUCCGCCGGGCUAGCCCCAGUUUUUUUCCGCCAGAAGGUCGACUGGCCCUGGCUUAACUUUCGGUAACUUUCUUCCGGGACCAGUAAAUUUACAGACGGAGGAGGAUGCGAACGAACUGCCGAGGAAAAGGGGGAUUUAGUCGAGCGCGGAAGAGAUUUUUCACUGGAAAAGAGGCGCCAGAAUUUCCGAUGGGAAAAUGGCCUUCACCCACUGCCCUAGCUACGGGUCGGCCUUCUUUCUAAGAAUGACGGCGGGUAGACGGAUGGCUUUACUCUGGGUCCACCCCCAAAACGCUUCCCACCCAUAACCCCCGUUUACCCGGCCUAAUUAAUGGCCCAUCCUCCGGACCAAAUAAACGGUAACUGUGGAAAAUUUUUACCCGCCACUCGGCUGACCUUGGCAUCUGGCGGUCGAUAAUUUUUCGAUGACGGACUAAUCCUUCCGCGGUAACCGGGAUGGAUGACCCAGGGGACUACCAAAAUACUCCGAAUAUGGAAAACCCGCCUCCAUAAAUGGCGGCCGGUUUAAAAGCGCGGGCCCUAAACUGCCGGACCCGAUGAUUUCCGUCGGGUUCCAGCCACCGCCGGCCCUAAGGAAAAACGAGGGCGGUCCCCACCUUCGAUUUAGCCAGGGGUGGCCCAAAUCUGGUAAAUAAGGAAAGGAAUCGAUUAAGAAGGAGUAAAUUGGUGGGAAUGGCGGGAGUAGGGGGAGAGAGAGAGAGAGAAAGCUGCAGGAGAUAGGCUAGUCUGCUUCACUCUAUAAGAUACAAAAGACGAUAAUCAGGAAGAUCUUUAUCGCUAAAUUUUUCUUUAUCCGGUUAAGAAUUUCCACAUAUAUAAAAUGUGUAGAUUGAAUUUUUUUCUAUACUUAAAAAAUAUACUUUUUUUUUUUUUUUGAUGCUCGAAAUCGUGAUUAAAAUGUGUGAGAAAUUCAAUGCGAUUUUCGUGACUGUCCAUUGAUCAGAAACAAAUUUAAGGAGAAUGUGUCAGUCUGUAGGCAAGAAAUCCAUAAAAAAAAUGAUUUUAUAUCAAUCUCUUUUGAUAUAUGAGCGUAGUAAAGAAUUCCCCUUGGAAAACCACACAAAUUGGUUUCGAACUUCUAAAAAAAAAUUGAGUUAAAGCAUUAUACUUUCAUCAUAAGGGGAUUGCCGACCGUG